UGACUCCCGGUGCGUUCCGUCUUCUUCUCGAGGGGGUUUCUGUCAGUUGUACCACAGGCCAAUGUACAGCUGUGCUGGUGAGAUUCCUGACCAAACGUUUCAUUGGAGAGUAUGCUUCAAAUGCUAACUCUCUAUACCACAAGAGGCUCUCAAUUGAUGGCAGACAGUUGAAUCUGGAGGUGUUUGACCCCUGCUCAGAGGUGAGGUAAUUAAGUGUACCAAAUACGAGAGUGUGUUAUUACUGAAGGGUGUAGAGCUAC